AUUGAACGCUGGCGGCAGGCUUAACACAUGCGAGUCGAGCGGGGGAAGGUAGCUUGCUACCGGACCUAGCGGCGGACGGGUGAGUAAUGCUUAGGAAUCUGCCUAUUAGUGGGGGACAACAUCUCGAAAGGGAUGCUAAUACCGCAUACGUCCUACGGGAGAAAGCAGGGGAUCUUCGGACCUUGCGCUAAUAGAUGAGCCUAAGUCGGAUUAGCUAGUUGGUGGGGUAAAGGCCUACCAAGGCGACGAUCUGUAGCGGGUCUGAGGGGAUGAACCGCCACGCUGGGACUGAGACCCGGCCGAGACUCCUACGGGAGGUAGCAGUGGGGAAUAUUGGACAAUGGGGGGAACCCUGAUCCAGCCAGGCCGCGUGUGUGAAGAAGGCCUUAUGGUUGUAAAGCACUUUAAGCGAGGAGGAGGCUACUUUAGUUAAUACCUAGAGAUAGUGGACGUUACUCGCAGAAUAAGCACCGGCUAACUCUGUGCCAGCCGCCGCAGUAA
rnacentral:rRNA from 1 species